CCCAGGGCAAACUUCACAGGUGACUGCCACUGCCAGGACUGGUGCCCCAUUCUGCUUUGGACUAUUUUUUUUUUAAGGGUUUUAUUGUUGUUGUUUACAUUUUUAAAAUUAUAGUUGAUUUACAGUGUUGUGCCAAUUUCUGUUGUAUAGCGGACUUACCCAGUCAUACAUAUAUAUCCCUUCCCUUUUUAUAUCAUCUUCCAUCAUGGUCUAUCUCAAGAGACUGGAUAUGGUUCCCUGUGCUGUGCAGUAGGACCUCAUUGCUUGUCCAUUCUAAAUGCAAUAGUUUGCAUCUACUAACCCCAAAUUCCUAGUCCAUCACUUUUUUCUCAUUUCUUCCCACAAUCUGGAGUGUUUUCCUCCAGAAUUAUCUCUGCCUUGAUAAUCUGCCAGCUCACCUCUUCAUCAUGGGAUUUGUGAGUAUUUGUUCCCAUCCAUACCUGAACUGAAAUGAAAGACUUCCCUGAAGACACAGCUUCCCAGAAUCUUUUGCCUUGAAAGCUACUUGUUUUUACUACAUACUGGGGUCAUCUUGUACUCAGCCACUUUCUUUCAAGAACAGCAUUACCAUCUACCUUCUAUCCCUACGCUUUCCAGCCUUUCCUCCUCGGGAUCACUCUUACUCUCAGACCUAAGGAACACCUCCUUCAUUCCUCACAGCCUCGGCACUGUGCGCAGAUGCAUCUUCUCAACCCUUGCAAAUAUUUUGCUUUGAAUUUCACCUGACAUCUGUAUUACAUUAUGUGGUUUAUGUUUGCUGUAUAACUGGCAUCUCCACCCCAGUAUUUUCAGACUUUCUGAUUUUUCUACUUUAAAUACCAUCCCUCAUAAAUAGCCUAUUGCACAGGCUGCUUGUUUGGUUGAUUAAACCACAGAGAUUAUUUUCAAUUCAUCCUUAUAACUAGAUUAAUUUGCUUGAUUGCAUCCAUUUCAUUUUUUUGGCUUUUGAGGGCCAUACCUGAGGCAUAUGGAGGUUCCCAGGCUAGGGGUCCAAUUGGAGCUGCAGCCACUGGCCUAUGCCAGAGCCACAGCAACUCAGGAUCCAAGCCUUGUCUGCGACCUAUACUACAGCUCACGGCAACAGUGGAUCCCCAACCCACUGAGCGAAGCCAGGGAUUGAACCCGCAACCCCAUGGCUCCCAGUUGGAUUCGUUUCUGCUGUGCCACAAUGGGGACUCUGCAUCCAUUUCAUGUUUCAUGUUUUCUAGUUGUGCUUUCUAUUUUACCUUUUCCUUGGUUUUUCUUUUUUUCGAUGAAUCAGAUUUUUUGUUUUAUUUCCUCUCAUAUUUUUCCAGUACAGUCUGGAGUUAAAACUUCUAUAUCCUAUCUCUGAAUAAGAAAAUAAACUUAGCAAAUUUCCAGUUUUCUCCCUCAUCAUGGUUUCCAUUUUAAGAUCUUCUAGGAUUAUAUAUUCAAGUUUUUUUAAAUUAUGACAAUAUUUAUUUAAAACAUAAGUUUUACUGCUAUAGUUAGUAUUACUAUUUCUUUUACCCUAGAAUUUCCUUAAAACUAUAUACUAGCCACCAAAAAUGCAAUGUCAACUAUAUACUUAAUAGUUAUUUCAGAAAUAUCCCCUAAUUGGUAAGAAAUUCAGAGACUUUGAGUAUCAAAAAAAGUUUUCAUUUGUCUUUUCUCACAAAUUCUAGCACGACUGGACAGAGGAAUCAAUUUCCCAGUUAAUUUUCCCCCAGGGUAUUUAAGACAUUGUUUUAUCAGCCCACAUUCAAUGUAUGUAAUAAAAAUUUCAUUUUUAAUCCAAUUCAUAUUCACUGCAGAUGAUCUAGUUUUCUUCAUUCUGCUUCUCGUGCUCUAUAAUAUGCUGUUCUCAUUUUUAAUUUGCCAUAGAAAUGUUUUAAGUUUCAGCAUGUGUUUUUCCCUGUUUUACAACACUAUUCUUCUUUUUUUGUCUUUUUAGGGUUGCACCUGCAGCAUAUGGAGGUUCCCAGGCUAGGGGUCGAAUCAGGGCCAUAUACACUGGCCUAAGCCACAGCCACAGCAAGACAGGAUCCAAGCAGUGUCUGUGACCUACACCACAGCUAACAGCAAUGCUGGAUCCUUUAACUCACUGAGCAAGGCCAGGGAUUGAACCUGAGUCCUCAUGGACACUAAUCAGAUUUGCUUCCUCUGAGCCAUGAUGGGAAUUCCAUACAACACUCUUCUUUAUAGGAAUUAAAUCAUAUUCAAUGUGUCUAAACACAAUUACUUUAAAUUUCUGAAUGCUUUGGGAUUGCUCCCUCCUCUGCAGUCCUGUGUUAAUGAAUUAUUUUGUUGGUUAAGUUUGAUGGCUCAUUUAUGUUACUGAUUUCCUUCGAGUAAUUAGUAAGGUUUGAUUUUUCUACUUUCCUUUUAAUUUGAUAAUCUGUAUUCAUUUGUUUUGAGUACAUAUGUGACUGAUGACCAAAUCUUAUUUCUUGUAUUGAGUAGGCUAUUGAGGGAGGCCAUGCUGCCAGCUGAGGCUAGUUGGCAUCUUGAUCCCAGCUUCUUGGGGUUCCCUGUGGCCUCAAGGCGUUACUAUCCUCCUAGGACACCCCUUAUACCAGCAGUCCCUGCUAGAUGUUUCCUUUGGCAGAUACAUCUACUAACCUCUGCUUUUUCAAGCAGCAUUGGUGGAUGGACAAGGAGAAAGCAGCUGCUUCUCCAAACUCUGUCUGAUUAAUGACCUUAAUGUUUGUCUCUGUCUUCCCAUUCUGUCCAAUCCACCUCCACAGCUUUCCUUUGUGUGUUUUGUAUUACUUAGGGUCUGAUCAAACUACAAUGAAUGACCUCAUAUAUGGAAUGGAUUAUGAUGAUUAAUCCUACGCAGUCCUUUUUAGGAACUCACAAAGUCUUUUGACGGCAUCUAACUACAAUGACAACCCUGGGGUCAGUGUCAUGAACCCAGGAAAACAGUUGGAUAUGACACAGAGACCCACAAAAACAAACUCAAACCCAUGAGGACAAAAUAAAUCUUCAAGAAUAAAGGUGAAUCUGUGUCAAUCCAGCUUUGACCUUGAAAUAACCUGUAGAAGAAUCCAAUGAGCAUCCCAUGGGGACCUGGCCUGGGAUGUGGUUGAACCACAAGGAGGAGCACCUGGCUGGACUCAUGAGCCAGCAGAUCAGAGAGGAUGAAUGUGAGCUAUGUCGACUCCACCUCCCACAGCGAUUUCCAGACCUUGAUGACUGCUUCCCUGUUCUGCCUUCAGAUCUUGUUUACUUGUCUCUAACCCAGGGCAUCUAGUAAAGAGAACUCCGGGAAACAUAGCUAAGUUGACACAGCUCAACACCACCAGUCAACCUAUCUUGCACCUAUGCACUUCUCCUUUAAUCAUCCUUAAUUUCCAAAUAAAUACUGUCAUGUUUUUACCUGAAGUGUUUCCAAUUUUUAUCAUCUACUGAGAACAUUCUAACUGCUCCUCAAAGAGGAUACACAGUUUUAUCCGCUUUUGCAUGAGGUUCACUCCUCAUUAAAUAUAAGACACAUACUUCUAUAUGAGAUGAUACGUAUGUGCAAGAAGGGGAAAAAUUGGUUAUUUGUAUAGGAAUCCACAAAUAACAAAGUAAGGAAGAAAUACUCAUAACUAUUACAAUACUCAUUUCUGCAAUUGGUCACAUGGUCAUAGCUUUUACAACUUUGCUCUUUCUUUACCCAUGCCUUAUUGUCUUCCCCAUUUACAAGCAGCUUCCUGUGGCUCUUUGUCUCAUGAAGUGACCCAUUUCGUCUCCUCUGNUUCCUUUCUGAAAGUUCUGAGCUCUUAGCAGUCCAGUCCUGGCUCUUUUAUGUUUCUGCAGUUUCCCAUGGAGUGUCAUCCAGGACAUGGGACUUCUAAGAAGUAUCCCAGAAGGUAUCUUAUAUUCCAGACAUACGCCUCCUUCUUUUCAUUGCGGAGGAGCAACUCAACUUUUCUUUAAGAUAGUGUUCAUUCCUAUAGCCUUCAUGAUCAUGAGGAAUCCAACAUUGUCAAAUGUCAGUUUCAUCUUCAUUUUUCAUUAAAACAAAUUUUUUUGUCUUGGAAUACCUUUAUAUUUGUGAAAAAGUUGAAUAGAUGGCUUAGAGAGUUUCCAUAUACUAGCAGGUCUCCUCUGUAUUAGCAGUUUGCAUUAGUAUUGAGAUAGGUAAAGAUUCGGUACCUGGGAUCCUUUGUUGCAGUGACUGCAGGGUUUGCACCUGGAUAAACAUCAAGAGCAACAAACUACAAAGGAACAACUAGAGACUAAAAAUAACUGCAUGCAUGUGAGAUUGGGGCAAAUUAUGGACCACAAGAUACAAAAAAACUAAAAAAAACAGAAGUUUCCAUUGUGGCUCAGCAGGUUAAGAACCCGACUAGUAUCUAUGAGGAUGCAGGUUUGAUCUCUGGCCUCGUUCAGUGAGUUGAUUACCUUGCAUUGCUGUGGCUGUGGUGUAGGUAGGAUGCUGUAGCUCUGAUUCAAACCCUAGCCUGGGAAUUUCCAUAUGCAGCCUGUGCAGCCCUAAAAAAGCAACAACAACAACAAAAAUCCCUAAAAAUAUAUUCCCAUUUUUGAAGAGUUGAGAACAAAAAAGAGUGUCAUGAGCAGAAGCAGGGUACUACACAUGCUCCCUGCAAACAUCACCAAAGAGGUGGGAAAACCACCCAAGCCACCCCUUUGACAUGACCCCUUGCUCCACCCCUAUCCUCACCCCGUAUAAGGAAUUGGCUUACCCCCCUCCCCCCUUAGGGAGUGAGCAAGCAGGGGAACCUGUUGUUUGUUUUGUGUUUUUCCCCUCUGCUGCAGCAGGGGAUCCCACUAAAACCUUGCUUGAACUCCUUUUCUGGCCUUUUGUCAAUUUAUAUUGGUUAAGGAGGCCAAGAACCCAGGUCAGAAAUAGUGCUGUACAUUUGUCACAUGAAAUUAAUAUUGAUGUAUUGUUAUAAACAAAGUUCAUUUAAAUGCUCUUAGUUUUUCCCUCAUGUCCUUUUUCUGUUCCAGGUCCCCAUCCCGGAUACUACAUUGCAUUACUUUUCUUGUUUCCUGAGCCCCUCUUGGCUGUGACAGUUUCUCAGACUCUUUGUUCUAAUGACUUUUGAGCAGUCUUUUAAUGGCAUUGAGGAGCACUAGUCAGAUAUUUUAUAGAAGGCCCCUCAAAAUAUAUUUUUCUGAUGUGUUUAUCACGAUUAGAUUACAGUCAUGUUUUUGUGAGGAAGGCAGUUUUGGAGGAAACACUUUCCAUUUUAAUGGAAACAGUCCUAUGCUGGGCCCCCUGCUGGCAUUAUUCCUCCCUUAGGAGUUCAAACCUCUAGACACCAGAUGUUGUCCUUUGAAUAUCCUAUUCUGAGAAGUUUGUAGUUGAGUGCGUUAACAUAAUGUCAAUGUCACCCUAAGGAAUCUACUCUCUUCGAUUUGUGAUGAAAAUUUAAACAUAAAAAUGUUCCUUCCCUACAAAGUCUGCAUAAUUUUACCUGCCAAACCAAUCAUCGAAAAAAAAAAAAAAAAA
ensembl:lncRNA